rnacentral:rRNA from 1 species
UUCGCCCUUAGAGUUUGAUCCUGGCUCAGAGCGAACGCUGGCGGCAGGCUUAACACAUGCAAGUCGAGCGGGCGUAGCAAUACGUCAGCGGCAGACGGGUGAGUAACGCGUGGGAACGUACCUUUUGGUUCGGAACAACACAGGGAAACUUGUGCUAAUACCGGAUAAGCCCUUACGGGGAAAGAUUUAUCGCCGAAAGAUCGGCCCGCGUUCUGAUUAGCUAGUUGGGUGAGGGUAACGGCUCACCAAAGGUGACGAUCAGUAGCUGGUCUGAGAGGAUGAUCAGCCACAUUGGGACUGAGACACGGCCCAAACUCCUACGGGAGGCAGCAGUGGGGAAUAUUGGACAAUGGGCGCAAGCCUGAUCCAGCCAUGCCGCGUGAGUGAUGAAGGCCCUAGGGUUGUAAAGCUCUUUUGUGCGGGAAGAUAAUGACGGUACCGCAAGAAUAAGCCCCGGCUAACUUCGUGCCAGCAGCCGCGGUAAUACGAAGGGGGCUAGCGUUGCUCGGAAUCACUGGGCGUAAAGGGUGCGUAGGCGGGUCUUUAAGUCAGGGGUGAAAUCCUGGAGCUCAACUCCAGAACUGCCUUUGAUACUGAAGAUCUUGAGUUCGGGAGAGGUGAGUGGAACUGCGAGUGUAGAGGUGAAAUUCGUAGAUAUUCGCAAGAACACCAGUGGCGAAGGCGGCUCACUGGCCCGAUACUGACGCUGAGGCACGAAAGCGUGGGGAGCAAACAGGAUUAGAUACCCUGGUAGUCCACGCCGUAA